rnacentral:lncRNA from 1 species
AUAUCAGCUGUGUCUAGGCAGCGGGCAAGGUGAACCCAUUGGGCAGUUACGCAGCUGCUGGAUGAACAAAUAAAUGUGUGGAAAAUGAAGAAAAACCGAGAGUCAAAGCUUACAGACUCUGCGAUGUGUCCUGGAUGCAAAGGCCACCUCCUGGAGUUUUUGCUACCUUUGCUUUUCAGCUGAAAGUAUUUUGGGAAGUCGAAGCUUGGAGAGAUUCUGUGAAUUGGUGAAGGACACAGAGCAAAGCCAGGAUUCAGAUUCAGACCUGCUUGACUCCAAGAUCAUUCCAGAAAUCUCCCUUUUCCUUUGGACCCUGUGACGUGACAGCUGGGUUCUUUCUGCUCUGAUUUCCAUGCCUGACAACCAUUUAAAUGGAAUACAAGAAUGCAGGUAACUGAAGAAACCCAUGGAGAGAGUUUUCUUAGGUUGAAAGAAAUUCACCCUUUAUCAAGAAUUAUUUAUAGUUCCUCUGGAGUGAGAGAGGAAGACAUUACCCACGCAGUGCUCUGUGGAAUCAUCUGAGCCACCACUUCUGCCUUGGGGACAUCAUCUGGGGAAGUAUCUAGAUCCUUUGGCUGAACAACGUGUUUUGAGGUCUUUAAUAUGUCACCUUAAGGAUGAGGCCUAGAGAACAUGGCCUUUUGUUGAACAGUUUGUAAGCUCUCAAAUGUGAGUAAAUGUGAGGAGGGUCUUGAGAGAUAUAGGAAGCUCAAGAAACCUAGCUAGAGUCUCUAGACUGUUGAGAAAAGUGGUGAGAAGAAAUUCCCAUUGUGGGGGAUGGGAGUGGUGGUUCAGGAGGAUUUUUGAGAAUGGGGAUAGAGAGCCUAGAAAUAAGGCCACACACCCAUGGCCAUCUGAUCUUCGACAAAGCAAGCAAUGAGUAAUGGACUCCUUGUUCAAUAAAUGGUGCCGGGUUGACUGAUUAGCCAUAUGCAGAAGAUUGAAACUGGACUCC